rnacentral:rRNA from 1 species
AACGAACGCUGGCGGCAGGCCUAACACAUGCAAGUCGAGCGCCCCGCAAGGGGAGCGGCGGACGGGUGAGUAACGCGUGGGAACGUACCCUUUGCUACGGAAUAGCCUCGGGAAACUGGGAGUAAUACCGUAUGUGCCCUUCGGGGGAAAGAUUUAUCGGCAAAGGAUCGGCCCGCGUUGGAUUAGGUAGUUGGUGGGGUAAUGGCCUACCAAGCCGACGAUCCAUAGCUGGUUUGAGAGGAUGAUCAGCAACACUGGGACUGAGACACGGCCCAGACUCCUACGGGAGGCAGCAGUGGGGAAUCUUAGACAAUGGGCGCAAGCCUGAUCUAGCCAUGCCGCGUGGACGAUGAAGGCCUUAGGGUUGUAAAGUCCUUUCAGAUGGGAAGAUAAUGACGGUACCAUCAGAAGAAGCCCCGGCUAACUCCGUG